GAUGAACGCUGGCGGCGUGCCUAAUACAUGCAAGUCGAGCGAACAGACGAGGAGCUUGUUCCUCUGACGUUAGCGGCGGACGGGUGAGUAACACGUGGAUAACCUACCUAUAAGACUGGGAUAACUUCGGGAAACUGGAGCUAAUACCGGAUAAUAUAUUGAACCGCAUGGUUCAAUAGUGAAAGACGGUUUUGCUGUCACUUAUAGAUGGAUCCGCGCCGCAUUAGCUAGUUGGUAAGGUAACGGCUUACCAAGGCAACGAUGCGUAGCCGACCUGAGAGGGUGAUCGGCCACACUGGAACUGAGACACGGUCCAGACUCCUACGGGAGGCAGCAGUAGGGAAUCUUCCGCAAUGGGCGAAAGCCUGACGGAGCAACGCCGCGUGAGUGAUGAAGGUCUUCGGAUCGUAAAACUCUGUUAUUAGGGAAGAACAAAUGUGUAAGUAACUAUGCACGUCUUGACGGUACCUAAUCAGAAAGCCACGGCUAACUACGUG
rnacentral:rRNA from 1 species